CAGCCGCCGCGGUAGUACCGGCGGCCCGAGUGGCGGUCACUAUUAUUGGGCUUAAAACGUCCGUAGCCGGGUUGGGAAGUCCUCCGGGAAAUCUGGCCGCUUAAAGGUCAGAAUGCCGGAGGAUACUCCCAGCCUAGGGAGCGGGAGAGGCCGAGGGUAUUCCCGGAGUAGGGGGGAAAUCCUAUAAUCCCGGGAGGACCACCUGUGGCGAAGGCGCUCGGCUGGAACGCGUCCGACGGUGAGGGACGAAGGCCAGGGGAGCAAACCGGAUUAGAUACCCGGGUAGUCCUGGCUGUAAACGAUGCGGACUUUGUGUCGGACAAGCUAUGAGCUUGUCCGGUGCCGGAGGGAAACCGUUAAGUCCGCCGCCUGGGGAGUACGGCCGCAAGGCUGAAACUUAAAGGAAUUGGCGGG
rnacentral:rRNA from 1 species